rfam:Ovis aries breed Texel chromosome 11, whole genome shotgun sequence.
UUCCGGGUGGUUCAGUGGCUAAAACUCUGCACUCCCAAUGCAGAGGGGUCUGGGUUCAGUCCCUGGUCAGGGAA